CAGUAGCCACGGUAAUACGGAGGAUCCAAGCGUUAUCCGGAAUCAUUGGGUUUAAAGGGUUCGUAGGCGGUCUUGUAAGUCAGUGGUGAAAGCCCAUCGCUCAACGGUGGAACGGCCAUUGAUACUGCAGGACUUGAAUUAUUGGGAAGUAACUAGAAUAUGUAGUGUAGCGGUGAAAUGCUUAGAGAUUACAUGGAAUACCAAUUGCGAAGGCAGGUUACUACCAAUUGAUUGACGCUGAUGGACGAAAGCGUGGGUAGCGAACAGGAUUAGAUACCCCAGUAGUCCCUGUCUCUUAUAC
rnacentral:rRNA from 1 species